rnacentral:rRNA from 1 species
AUACGUAGGUGGCAAGCGUUGUCCGGAAUGACUGGGCGUAAAGGGUGCGUAGGCGGCCUGUCAAGUUGGCAGUGUAAUCCCCGGGCUUAACUCGGGAGCUACUGCCAAAACUGGCGGGCUUGAGUGUGGGAGAGGUAAGUGGAAUUCCUAGUGUAGCGGUGGAAUGCGUAGAUAUUAGGAGGAACACCGGCGGCGAAGGCGGCUUACUGGACCAUAACUGACGCUGAGGCACGAAAGCGUGGGGAGCAAACAGGAUUAGAUACCCUGGUAGUCCACGCUGUAAACGAUGGAUACUAGGUGUAGGGGGUAUCGACUCCCUCUGUGCCGUCGCAAACGCAAUAAGUAUCCCGCCUGGGGAGUACGACCGCAAGGUUAAA